UAGUUAAUCCAGUCUGACACAGUCAGUGCUAAUUGUGCCUCUCGCUGCAAGUCUUUGGGUAUACCCUACUAUCGAUUCAGCCCUCAUCUCAAGGAGAAGGUUUCAGUUUUCGAAACCGAGACUCGUAAACUCUUAAACUCGGUAUUACGUACCAGGAUUGAGCUACAGAACAUGCGGUGUGGCUUUGAAGAACUUAAAGAAUAUUUUGUAAAAAUCACAAAGACCUACACUGCUUCUGGAAGUGGCCUGGGGGGAGCUUCCUGUAUGUUCACAACCAGCGACGCCCUCUCACCUUCUGAUCUGGUACCUCACACUAAAUCAACUGAAACCAACUCAUCAGAUGAUGAUCUGCAACGAAAGCACUUUCUAUGGCGAUGCAAGUGUUCCAAUCAGAUAUGAAUUCACCAGAUAUAAUUAUUGCAUCCAUCACUCACCUACUCCUCUUCCCCAGCUCAUGCAGUAUCCUGUUUCAUUUCAGUCACCACUCACAGUGUCACAUAUAUAUAGUUCAUGCAUACAGUACUCUCACAUGCAUUUAUGGAAAAAUGAACAAUAAAAGUCAAAAAUAUAAAAACUAAAAAGGAAUCAAAUUCAGGCUUGCAAGUUUAGAACUCACCUCCAAUAAAUUAGUAUCCAUGCACCUAAUACACACAACAUACACUGUAGAUACAAUUCAUUGUUUUGUGCACCUUUCAUUCAGUAUCACACUGAUGCAUACAUUACUUAAGAGAAAUGAUUACCUUGCCCAUAUUAUUAUUAUUAUUAUUAUUAUUAUUCAGUUAUUAUCCUCAUGCUCUUAAUCCUCUAACAAGAUUCUCAUUACUGUAAUUAUUAUUAUGAUUGUUAUAUAUUAUCCACCUUAAGUAUCAUAGCUCAGUAUGUUAUUGUGUGAAUUUGACAUCUUUGUUAUCCCCUCAUUUUAAUCUUUAUUAUUACCAUUAUUAUUUUUUAUCUAAUCUAAUAUUAUUAUUAUUAUUAUUCAUUAUUGUUAUUAUUAUUAUUAUCAUUCAUCUAUGUAGCAGCAUCACCAUCACAUUUCCUUUUUUGUAUUAUACAAUAAAUUUGAUUAUAAAACUCUCAA